rnacentral:rRNA from 1 species
UACGAAGGGGGCUAGCGUUGCUCGGAAUCACUGGGCGUAAAGCGCACGUAGGCGGCUUUCUAAGUCAGGGGUGAAAUCCUGGAGCUCAACUCCAGAACUGCCUUUGAUACUGGAGAGCUUGAGUCCGGAAGAGGUGAGUGGAACUCCGAGUGUAGAGGUGAAAUUCGUUGAUAUUCGGAAGAACACCAGUGGCGAAGGCGUCUCACUGGUCCGGUACUGACGCUGAGGUGCGAAAGCGUGGGGAGCAAACAGG